UGGUGGAGUGAUUUGUCUGGUUAAUUCCGAUAACGAACGAGACCUCAGCUUGUUAACUAGUCUGCGCAAUCUUCUAUAUGGGAGAAGCUACUCGAUCACCUUGAGUCUGGGGCAACUCAGAUUUAAGGCCCUGUGGUGGAUCCUUGAAGUUUUGUGUGGUUACUUCUUAAAAGGACUAUCUGUGUUUAACGGAAGGAAGAGAGGCAAUAACA
rnacentral:rRNA from 1 species